UACGUAGGAGGCAAGCGUUGUCCGGAAUUACUGGGUGUAAAGCGCGUGUAGGCGGCAGGCCAAGUCUGUGGUGAAAUCGCUCGGCUCAACUGGGCGGGGUCCAUGGAAACUGGUCAGCUGGAGGACGGUAGAGGUGAGUGGAAUUCCCGGUGUAGUGGUGAAAUGCGCAGAUAUCAGGAGGAACACCGGUGGCGAAGGCGGUUCUCUGGGCAUGUCCUGACGCUGAGACGCGAAAGCGUGGGUAGCAAACAGG
rnacentral:rRNA from 1 species